GUAGGUGGCAAGCGUUGUCCGGAAUUAUUGGGCGUAAAGCGCGCGCAGGUGGUUCUUUAAGUCUGAUGUGAAAGCCCCCGGCUCAACCGGGGAGGGUCAUUGGAAACUGGGGAACUUGAGUGCAGGAGAGGAAAGUGGAACUCCACGUGUAGCGGUGAAAUGCGUAGAUAUGUGGAGGAACACCAGUGGCGAAGGCGACUUUCUGGCCUGUAACUGACACUGAGGCGCGAAAGCGUGGGGAGCAAACAGGGAUUAGAUACCCUGGUAGUCCACGCCGUAAACGAUGAGUGCUAUGUGUUGGGGGGGUUUCCGCCCCCUCAGUGCUGCAGCUAACGCAUUAAGCACUCCGCCCUGGGAGUACGGUCGCAAGACUG
rnacentral:rRNA from 1 species